AAACCUAGGCAGCAUAGCCAAACCCUGUCUGCACAAAAAUGUAAAAUAAAAUUAGCCAGGUAUGGUGGAGGAUGAGUCCUAGCUACUUAGGAGGCUGAGGUGUGUGGAUCACUUGAGCCAGGAGUUCAAGGCUGCAGUGAGUCAUGACAGGACAGAGGGAGACCUGUCUACUGUCUGUCCCUAUAGAAAAAGAAAAAAACAGGAUGGCCAGAGGAAAUGCAUCAAUGCAGAGGGACAGAAACAGCAGUGUGGCCUGGGAAAGAGUGAAAAUUGAGGCAGAUUCAUAAAGAAGUCUAAGAGUUUUGGGGAUGUUGGGGACUAUCAAGGUUGACAGUCUCUCCAUAUAGAAAUUCUUCCCCAGAUUCCCAGGAGAAACUUUGAAAUAAAUUACUCAA
rnacentral:lncRNA from 1 species